CCUACGGGUGGCAGCAGUGGGGAAUAUUGCACAAUGGGGGAAACCCUGAUGCAGCGACGCCGCGUGAGUGAAGAAGUAUUUCGGUAUGUAAAGCUCUAUCAGCAGGGAAGAAAAUGACGGUACCUGAUUAAGAAGCCCCGGCUAACUACGUGCCAGCAGCCGCGGUCAUACGUAGGGGGCAAGCGUUAUCCGGAUUUACUGGGUGUAAAGGGAGCGUAGACGGCAGCACAAGUCUGGAGUGAAAUGCCGGGGCUUAACCCCGGAACUGCUUUGGAAACUGUGUAGCUAGAGUGCAGGAGAGGUAAGUGGAAUUCCUAGUGUAGCGGUGAAAUGCGUAGAUAUUAGGAGGAACACCAGUGGCGAAGGCGGGUUACUGGACUGUAACUGACGUUGAGGCUCGAAAGCGUGGGGAGCAAACAGGAUUAGAUACCCCAGUAGUC
rnacentral:rRNA from 1 species